rnacentral:rRNA from 1 species
GACGAACGCUGGCGGCGUGCCUAAUACAUGCAAGUCGAACGCACGAAGUUGAAGAGCUUGCUCUUUAACCAAGUGAGUGGCGGACGGGUGAGUAACACGUGGGUAACCUGCCCAUUAGAGGGGGAUAACAUUCGGAAACGGAUGCUAAUACCGCAUAGUUUCAGGGAUCGCAUGAUUCUUGAAGGAAAGGUGGCUUCGGCUACCACUAAUGGAUGGACCCGCGGCGUAUUAGCUAGUUGGUGAGGUAAUGGCUCACCAAGGCAAUGAUACGUAGCCGGCCUGAGAGGGUGAUCGGCCACACUGGGACUGAGACACGGCCCAGACUCCUACGGGAGGCAGCAGUAGGGAAUCUUCCGCAAUGGACGAAAGUCUGACGGAGCAACGCCGCGUGAGUGAAGAAGGUUUUCGGAUCGUAAAACUCUGUUGUUAAAGAAGAACAAGGAUGAGAGUAACUGCUCAUCCCCUGACGGUAUUUAACCAGAAAGCCGCGGCUAACUACGUGCCAGCAGCCGCGGUAAUACGUAGGUGGCAAGCGUUGUCCGGAUUUAUUGGGCGUAAAGCGAGCGCAGGCGGUUCUUUAAGUCUGAUGUGAAAGCCCCCGGCUCAACCGGGGAGGGUCAUUGGAAACUGGAGAACUUGAGUGCAGAAGAGGAGAGUGGAAUUCCACGUGUAGCGGUGAAAUGCGUAGAUAUGUGGAGGAACACCGGUGGCGAAGGCGACUCUCUGGUCUGUAACUGACGCUGAGGCUCGAAAGCGUGGGGAGCAAACAGG